CCUCAUCAUAAUGCCGCCGGAGAAAGUAGUCAGGCAUGUCAAACAGACACUCGUGUUGCAUCUGGCUCGGGUGAUCCGAGGAUCUCAAGAAUCAGGACCUGAUGUGGCCCAGGAUCGGGAGUAACAGUACAACAGAGGACGGACAAGCAGCCGAAGUUCCUGGGUUUUUGGAAUGCAAGGCAUUAAAGGUGAC